CUAUACAUGCAGUCGAGCGGACAGAUGGGAGCUUGCUCCCUGAUGUUAGCGGCGGACGGGUGAGUAACACGUGGGUAACCUGCCUGUAAGACUGGGAUAACUCCGGGAAACCGGGGCUAAUACCGGAUGGUUGUCUGAACCGCAUGGUUCAGACAUAAAAGGUGGCUUCGGCUACCACUUACAGAUGGACCCGCGGCGCAUUAGCUAGUUGGUGAGGUAACGGCUCACCAAGGCGACGAUGCGUAGCCGACCUGAGAGGGUGAUCGGCCACACUGGGACUGAGACACGGCCCAGACUCCUACGGGAGGCAGCAGUAGGGAAUCUUCCGCAAUGGACGAAAGUCUGACGGAGCAACGCCGCGUGAGUGAUGAAGGUUUUCGGAUCGUAAAGCUCUGUUGUUAGGGAAGAACAAGUGCCGUUCAAAUAGGGCGGCACCUUGACGGUACCUAACCAGAAAGCCACGGCUAACUACGUGCCAGCAGCCGCGGUAAUACGUAGGUGGCAAGCGUUGUCCGGAAUUAUUGGGCGUAAAGGGCUCGCAGGCGGUUUCUUAAGUCUGAUGUGAAAGCCCCCGGCUCAACCGGGGAGGGUCAUUGGAAACUGGGGAACUUGAGUGCAGAAGAGGAGAGUGGAAUUCCACGUGUAGCGGUGAAAUGCGUAGAGAUGUGGAGGAACACCAGUGGCGAAGGCGACUCUCUGGUCUGUAACUGACGCUGAGGAGCGAAAGCGUGGGGAGCGAACAGGAUUAGAUACCCUGGUAGUCCACGCCGUAAACGAUGAGUGCUAAGUGUUAGGGGGUUUCCGCCCCUUAGUGCUGCAGCUAACGCAUUAAGCACUCCGCCUGGGGAGUACGGUCGCAAGACUGAAACUCAAAGGAAUUGACGGGGGCCCGCACAAGCGGUGGAGCAUGUGGUUUAAUUCGAAGCAACGCGAAGAACCUUACCAGGUCUUGACAUCCUCUGACAAUCCUAGAGAUAGGACGUCCCCUUCGGGGGCAGAGUGACAGGUGGUGCAUGGUUGUCGUCAGCUCGUGUCGUGAGAUGUUGGGUUAAGUCCCGCAACGAGCGCAACCCUUGAUCUUAAUUGCCAGCAUUCAGUUGGGCACUCUAAGGUGACUGCCGGUGACAAACCGGAAGAAAGNGGGGGAUGACGUCAAAUCAUCAUGGCCCCUUAUGACCUGGGGCUACC
rnacentral:rRNA from 1 species